ACUGGUGGACCAAAACUGACUCUGAUGAAGCAAGACUUUGUUGAUACACUCCUCCUAGACAAAGAGGUGGAGAGAGCAGCCCUUAUUGGAGAAACCACAGGGCUGACUGUACUAUCCAAAAAUU